AAUCUACAAGCUACUUUAGUUAGAGGAAAAAGAAGAGUAAGUUGCUCUUAAUGACAAGUCUUCAGUACCUUAGGGACAAUAUAUACUACUGUAUAGAUGCUAUGAUAUUUUACCUAGAGCUCACCAUGCUCUUAUUGCGAUCAUAAUUCAUUUGUGCUGUUUAUUUAGUGACAUUUGAAGUCUCCUUUGUCUUAUUAGAUGACUUGCAAGAAUCGAACCUGCAUGGGUCUGCCUCAAUCAGGAACUUGACAACUUCGUUCAUUGUUGGGCGGAGGGCUGGGUU
rnacentral:misc_RNA from 1 species